rnacentral:misc_RNA from 1 species
GCUUCUUCGCAUAGAAAAAAAAAGAAAAAAAAAGCCAAUGGCUUCACCUGCCAAGCAAACACUGCAACUCAAGGAGAUGCAUAAGUUAUUUUUUAGUAGCAUUUUUCUAAAAUGCGGAAUGUAACGACAACCCAACAUCUAGAACAUAACGGCUAUAUCAACAUUACUUCCUAUACAACGGUCCGUUGAUGUAUCUAGUAAAAUAUUAUCAUCGCUAAUCUUAAAACCGUCGAGAAAUUUUAAAUAACUACAUCCAUCAACCGCUAGCAUUUAUCAGGCUCGAACCUAAUAAGAGAAUUGGCGAUAUCGAAACCGACACGUGUUCCUUGCUGCUGUACAUUCCCAACAAUUGACAGCACCGAUGUCGUUGGAGCAAAUGCAAAACAAAAGGUCCCCUCUGAGUCGACAGGUAUCAGGUAGUUCUUUGCUGGCAACGGUAACACAUUGCCGUUCGGGAAAUGAAACGACACCGUUGGGACCUCCACGCUACCAUUUGAGGACAAAUCGUAACACGUGUCAAAUAACGCCACGCCGUUGGUCGACGGCAGGUGCUUCGUGCCAUUAACAAAUGCGUCGCGUAGAGAAUUGUAUGCGUCCGUUUGAAAGCGAGUUAUGGCCGUGCCUGAGUCGAUAAUUAUUCCUCCGUUUCCUGACUCGUCCAUUUUGAAUGCUGAUACAGGAAUCGAGAGCAAUUCGCCACCUACACUCAGUCCUGUUAUCCCGAGGUAAUAAAAUGUUUCGAGCUCGUGGCUACGGAUUAAUGGAGCAGUAAUAGCAUUAGGAAGGAGAGUUGAGUUAAACUCGAGAGUCGAAACCGAGUCGGAGUCGCGAUCCACGAGACAAUAAGAGAAACCCGUUGCAUUAAUCUGAGACGGGAAAGAGAGUAAGCCGCCUCCGAGUGCAAGCACGCCGGCGGCUCCAACAAACAAACCCUCGUUAUUAUGUCCACAGCCAAUCGCUACAUUUUCAACCGAAGCGGAACCAAGGGUGAUGGUUUCAGUGACAAAAUCGCCGACGGUGUAUGAACCGUCUCCGUAUGACACUUCGUAGAGACACGUGCCGUUGCGACACUCAGAUAUGUCGAGGGACUUGCAGUGUUUGGUGUCGCAAGUAAGAGGCGAGUAUGAAGUAGAGGAAGCGGGCUCAAAGAUCGGGUCGGCUUGCUGGUAGCAGUCGGCGCAGGGUGCGCACUGAACCCAGUUAACGUCACUGCCGGUGUCGAGCACCAUAUAAACGGAACUCGGCGGUUUGCCGAUUCCUACUCGGGAGAAAUACUCGCCGCUUCCUUGGCUACUCCCAGAUAUAAUGGGGCUCUGAAGAUCUUCAGCUUUGAACUCCAUAUCACUAUCAAGGGGUUUAAGAUCUGACGUGGAAAUGCCACGAAUGGCCAGAUCUAAACGAAUGGUGAGAGAUCUAACUCGGGCUGAGUCGCGCUCGAGUCGAGCUAAGGUAAGCGAUUUGUAGUCAGUGUGUGAAGUCUUCUGAAUCGAAGUUCUGGAAUGCAACUCCAUUGAUGGCCAUGACGAGGAAGAGGAGGAUGUUUCUUGCUGGUUAAACGUCGUUGUCGUUUUAGAAUGGGCAGAGAAUACGUCUUUGGUCUUUUGAAUGGACGCUUUCACAUCGAGAAUCGCAGUUUUAGAGCUGUGUGGUAAGGUUCGAGAGCAGGCAAACGGAGAAGUGAGAAGAAGCAGGGCAAAGAGAGCACAAAGAAGCCUCAUUUUAGCUAGUAAAGAGACAAGAAAAGGUGGACUAGUGGUAGGAUUUAAAACGGUUGGGGGUGUUGGGUUUUUAUACGAGGGGACUCAGAGGAAAAAAAGAAAGGUAGGCAAACACGCUAGCUUUAAGUGAGGAUGAAAAUCUAAGGGUAGAUAUUUGUUUUCCCUAGGUUGUUAAUGUUAAUCUGAGAGGGUGUUCGGGGAUACACAGCCUUUGCAUGUUCAUUAAUAUUUCCUUAUGGAUCAAUUACAGGGUUUCAUUGCCAUUAGCAUGAUUGCCUUUUUCUUUUGACCAGUAAUGGGCUCAUUGAUUUUGGUCUGCUGGAGUUGGACCCAUCUGAAAGAAUAAAGGGAAAAGGUGGAGUUUGGUGAAAGCAAAGAUAAAUUGGGCCAGCGCUGAGACUGCUGUGGGUCAAAAAGGUCAGAUUUAGGUGUUGAAGCUUGUACUUU